GGCGGUAUGCUUAACACAUGCAAGUCGAACGGUGCUUUCGGGCACAGUGGCGGACGGGUGAGUAACGCGUGAGAAUCUGGCUCUAGGUCUGGGACAACCACUGGAAACGGUGGCUAAUACCGGAUGUGCCGAAAGGUGAAAGGUUAACUGCCUGGAGAUGAGCUCGCGUCUGAUUAGCUAGUAGGUGUGGUAAGAGCGCACCUAGGCGACGAUCAGUAGCUGGUCUGAGAGGACGAUCAGCCACACUGGGACUGAGACACGGCCCAGACUCCUACGGGAGGCAGCAGUGGGGAAUUUUCCGCAAUGGGCGAAAGCCUGACGGAGCAAUACCGCGUGAGGGAGGAAGGCUCUUGGGUCGUAAACCUCUUUUCUCAGGGAAGAACACAAUGACGGUACCUGAGGAAUAAGCAUCGGCUAACUCCGUGCCAGCAGCCGCGGUAAUACGGAGGAUGCAAGCGUUAUCCGGAAUGAUUGGGCGUAAAGCGUCCGCAGGUGGCUGUGUAAGUCUGCUGUUAAAGAGUCUAGCUCAACUAGAUAAAAGCAGUGGAAACUACACGGCUAGAGUACGUUCGGGGCAGAGGGAAUUCCUGGUGUAGCGGUGAAAUGCGUAGAGAUCAGGAAGAACACCGGUGGCGAAGGCGCUCUGCUAGGCCGUAACUGACACUGAGGGACGAAAGCUAGGGGAGCGAAUGGGAUUAGAUAC
rnacentral:rRNA from 1 species